rnacentral:rRNA from 1 species
AGGUUAAGUGAAUAAGGGCGCACGGUGGAUGCCUUGGCACUAGGAGCCGAUGAAGGACGGGACUAACACCGAUAUGCUUUGGGGAGCUGUACGUAAGCUAUGAUCCAGAGAUUUCCGAAUGGGGGAACCCAACAUCUUUAAUAGGAUGUUACGAUUGUGUGAAUACAUAGCACAUUCGAGGUAGACGCAGAGAACUGAAACAUCUAAGUACCUGCAGGAAGAGAAAGAAAAUUCGAUUCCCUGAGUAGCGGCGAGCGAAACGGGAAAAGCCCAAACCAGCAAGCUUGCUUGUUGGGGUUGUAGGACUCCAAUAUGGUAGUUCUUUCAGAUAGUCGAAUGACUUGGAAAAGUCAGUCAAAGAGGGUAAAAACCCCGUAGACGAAAUGUGGAAGACACCUAGGAGGAUCCUGAGUACGGCGGAACACGAGAAAUUCCGUCGGAAUCCGGGAGGACCAUCUCCCAAGGCUAAAUACUCCCUAGUGACCGAUAGUGAACCAGUACCGUGAGGGAAAGGUGAAAAGCACCCCGGAAGGGGAGUGAAAUAGAACCUGAAACCGUGUGCCUACAACAAGUCAAAGCCCGUUAAUGGGUGAUGGCGUGCCUUUUGUAGAAUGAACCGGCGAGUUACGAUUGCAUGCGAGGUUAAGUUGAAGAGACGGAGCCGCAGCGAAAGCGAGUCUGAAUAGGGCGUUUGAGUAUGUAGUCGUAGACCCGAAACCAUGUGAUCUACCCAUGUCCAGGUUGAAGGUGCGGUAAAACGCACUGGAGGACCGAACCCACGUACGUUGAAAAGUGCGGGGAUGAGGUGUGGGUAGCGGAGAAAUUCCAAACGAACUUGGAGAUAGCUGGUUCUCUCCGAAAUAGCUUUAGGGCUAGCCUCGGAAUUGAGAAUGAUGGAGGUAGAGCACUGUUUGGACUAGGGGCCCAUCUCGGGUUACCGAAUUCAGAUAAACUCCGAAUGCCAUUCAUUCAUAUCCGGGAGUCAGACUGUGAGUGAUAAGAUCCAUAGUCGAAAGGGAAACAGCCCAGACCACCAGCUAAGGUCCCAAAAUAUAUGUUAAGUGGAAAAGGAUGUGGGGUUGCACAGACAACUAGGAUGUUGGCUUAGAAGCAGCCAUCAUUUAAAGAGUGCGUAAUAGCUCACUAGUCGAGUGACCCUGCGCCGAAAAUGUACCGGGGCUAAACAUAUUACCGAAGCUGUGGAGUACACCUUUAGGUGUAUUGGUAGGAGAGCGUUCUAAGGGCGUUGAAGGCAGAUCGUGAGGACUGCUGGAGCGCUUAGAAGUGAGAAUGCCGGUAUGAGUAGCGAAAGACAGGUGAGAAUCCUGUCCACCGAAUGACUAAGGUUUCCUGGGGAAGGCUCGUCCGCCCAGGGUUAGUCGGGACCUAAGCCGAGGCCGACAGGCGUAGGCGAUGGAUAACAGGUUGAUAUUCCUGUACCCGUUGUUUUUGUUUGAGCAAUGGAGGGACGCAGGAGGCUAAGGAAUGCAGACGAUCGGAAAUGUCUGUCCAAGCAGUAAGUCUGAAGAGGAGUCAAAUGCUUCUUUUCUUAAGGACAAGCUGUGAUGGGGAGGGAAAUAAUAGUACCGAAGUUCCUGAUGUCACACUGCCGAGAAAAGCUUCUAGUGAGAAAACAGCGGCCCGUACCGCAAACCGACACAGGUAGUCGAGGAGAGAAUCCUAAGGUGAGCGAGAGAACUCUCGUUAAGGAACUCGGCAAAAUGACCCCGUAACUUCGGGAGAAGGGGUGCUGAUCAUACGAUCAGCCGCAGUGAAUAGGCCCAAGCGACUGUUUAUCAAAAACACAGGUCUCUGCAAAAUCGUAAGAUGAAGUAUAGGGGCUGACGCCUGCCCGGUGCUGGAAGGUUAAGAGGAGUGCUUAGCGCAAGCGAAGGUACGAAUUGAAGCCCCAGUAAACGGCGGCCGUAACUAUAACGGUCCUAAGGUAGCGAAAUUCCUUGUCGGGUAAGUUCCGACCCGCACGAAAGGCGUAACGAUUUGGGCACUGUCUCAACGAGAGACUCGGUGAAAUUUUAGUACCUGUGAAGAUGCAGGUUACCCGCGACAGGACGGAAAGACCCCAUGGAGCUUUACUGUAGUUUGAUAUUGAGUGUCUGUACCGCAUGUACAGGAUAGGUAGGAGCCGUAGAAAUCGGAACGCUAGUUUCGAUGGAGGCGCUGGUGGGAUACUACCCCUGCGUUAUGGCCACUCUAACCCGCACCACUAAUCGUGGUGGGAGACAGUGUCAGAUGGGCAGUUUGACUGGGGCGGUCGCCUCCUAAAAGGUAACGGAGGCGCCCAAAGGUUCCCUCAGAAUGGUUGGAAAUCAUUCGAAGAGUGUAAAGGCAGAAGGGAGCUUGACUGCGAGACCAACAAGUCGAGCAGGGACGAAAGUCGGGCUUAGUGAUCCGGUGGUUCCGCAUGGAAGGGCCAUCGCUCAACGGAUAAAAGCUACCCUGGGGAUAACAGGCUUAUCUCCCCCAAGAGUCCACAUCGACGGGGAGGUUUGGCACCUCGAUGUCGGCUCGUCGCAUCCUGGGGCUGUAGUCGGUCCCAAGGGUUGGGCUGUUCGCCCAUUAAAGCGGCACGCGAGCUGGGUUCAGAACGUCGUGAGACAGUUCGGUCCCUAUCCGUCGCGGGCGUUGGAAAUUUGAGAGGAGCUGUCCUUAGUACGAGAGGACCGGGAUGGACUUACCGCUGGUGUACCAGUUGUUCUGCCAAGGGCAUUGCUGGGUAGCUAUGUAGGGAAGGGAUAAACGCUGAAAGCAUCUAAGUGUGAAGCCCACCUCAAGAUGAGAUUUCCCAUUUCUUUAAGAAAGUAAGAUCCCUGAGAGAUGAUCAGGUAGAUAGGUCAGGAGUGGAAGUACAGUGAUGUAUGGAGCGGACUGAUACUAAUCGAUCGAGGACUUAACCAAU